AGUGAACGCUGGCGGUAGGCCUAACACAUGCAAGUCGAACGGCAGCACAGUAAGAGCUUGCUCUUACGGGUGGCGAGUGGCGGACGGGUGAGGAAUACAUCGGAAUCUACUUUUUCGUGGGGGAUAACGUAGGGAAACUUACGCUAAUACCGCAUACGACCUACGGGUGAAAGCAGGGGAUCUUCGGACCUUGCGCGAUUGAAUGAGCCGAUGUCGGAUUAGCUAGUUGGCGGGGCAAAGGCCCACCAAGGCGACGAUCCGUAGCUGGUCUGAGAGGAUGAUCAGCCACACUGGAACAGAGACACGGUCCAGACUCCUACAGGAGGCAGCAGUGGGGAAUAUUGGACAAUGGGCGCGAGCCUGAUCCAGCCAUACCGCGUGGGUGAAGAAGGCCUUCGGGUUGUAAAGCCCUUUUGUUGUGAAAGAAAAGCAGCAGGUUAAUACCCCGCUGUUCUGACGGUACCCAAAGAAUAAGCACCGGCUAACUUCGUG
rnacentral:rRNA from 1 species